rnacentral:lncRNA from 1 species
GUUUUAUUGUCCACCAUUGUUUCUUUUGCUCUGGCCUCUUAAGUUACAGGGCCUCUAAUCUGCACACGUGUUCACUAACUGUAGGCUGACUAUAACUUGGUUUGUUUUGAUUGCAGAGUGGCCAGCUAUGGACUUAAGGCAGAUAUGACCCCAGGGAUGCAUGGUCACCAGACACUGGAUCUUGCAAGACUGCCAUUAGAGCCUCACUUUUGUACCUCCUGUCUCUGAGUCCAUUCUUUGGCAUUGGGUGGCAGAUACUUUAACCUGUAUGAGAAUGAGAAACCUGUCUUCAUCAGGACCUCAGACAUCUGACAACUUUGUGCACACCAAGACAAGGCUGGGGAUGUCGCUCAAUGGCCCCUGGGUUCACUCCCUGGAACACCCCGACCCACCCUUAAAAAAAUUAAAAAAUUAGGUUGUAGCCUAGACAUGCACAGUUUCAGCUACUCAGGAUACUGAGUCAAGAGGAUUACAAAUUCAAGGUCAGUCUGGGCAACUUAGUGAGACUGCCUCAAAAAAAAUAAAAAGGGCUGAGGAUAUAGCUCA